AUUGAACGCUGGCGGCAUGCCUUACACAUGCAAGUCGAACGGCAGCACGGGGCAACCUGGUGGCGAGUGGCGAACGGGUGAGUAAUGCAUCGGAACGUGCCAUUGAGUGGGGGAUAACGUAGCGAAAGUUGCGCUAAUACCGCAUAUUCUGUGAGCAGGAAAGCAGGGGGACCGCAAGGCCUUGCGCUCUUUGAGCGGCCGAUGUCAGAUUAGCUAGUUGGUGAGGUAACGGCUUACCAAGGCGACGAUCUGUAGCGGGUCUGAGAGGAUGAUCCGCCACACUGGAACUGAGACACGGUCCAGACUCCUACGGGAGGCAGCAGUGGGGAAUUUUGGACAAUGGGCGCAAGCCUGAUCCAGCCAUGCCGCGUGAGUGAAGAAGGCCUCGG
rnacentral:rRNA from 1 species